rnacentral:rRNA from 1 species
UACGGAAGGCAGCAGUGGGGAAUAUUGCACAAUGGGCGCAAGCCUGAUGCAGCCAUGCCGCGUGUAUGAAAAAGGCCUUCGGGUUGUAAAGUACUUUCAGUCGUGAGGAAGGUGUUAAGGUUAAUAACCUUAGCAAUUGACGUUAGCGACAGAAGAAGCACCGGCUAACUCCGUGCCAGCAGCCGCGGUAAUACGGAGGGUGCGAGCGUUAAUCGGAAUUACUGGGCGUAAAGGGCACGCAGGCGGUUAAUUAAGUUGGAUGUGAAAUCCCCGGGCUUAACCUGGGAAUGGCAUUCAAGACUGGUUAGCUAGAGUCUUGUAGAGGGGGUUAGAAUUCCAUGUGUAGCGGUGAAAUGCGUAGAGAUGUGGAGGAAUACCGGUGGCGAAGGCGGCCCCUGGACAAAGACUGACGCUCAUGUGCGAAAGCGUGGGGAGCGAAACAGGGAUUAGAUA